rnacentral:lncRNA from 1 species
GGGACUACAGGCGCCCGCCAUGAUGCCCGGCUAAUUUUUUGUAUUUUUAGCAGAGACGGGGUUUCACCCUGUUAGCCAGGAUGGUCUCAUCUCCUGACCUCGUGAUCCGCCCGCCUAGGCCUCCCAAAGUGCUGGGAUUACAGGCGUGAGCCACCGCGCCCGGCCUAAUAAAGGACAAUUUUUAAUAGCCACUGGACUAUUUAAGUGAUCUCUUCUGUCAGUUUCUUUUACCAUCAGAGGACACAGCAGCAAGGUGCCAUCCUAGAAGCAGAGAGCAGACCCUUACCAGACAACCAACCAGCUGGUGCCAUGAUCUUGGACUUCUCGGCCUCCAGAACUGUAAGACACCCCUACUCUGUCCAGACCCAACUGUCAACAGAAGCCAAAGCCAUCUGGAGGAGCAUGCAACAACAAGAAACAAAUUUAUUAGCUAACCUAACCACUAAUGACGCAAGAGACAAUUCUAAGGACUUUCAAAACAGCAAAGUAGGAGCAGCUGCUACCUCUAGGGAUGAGGGAGAAACUCAAAAAUGCAUACAAAAACCAUUGCAUGAAAAGUGACUGGAUUUGUACAUAGCGUCAGGAGAUGUGCGUAGUGUCAAAGUAUCUCAUCACACAUUACUUGAUAAUUACAAAUGAGAAAAAUGAACCUUCACAGUGGCAAGACUUGACUUCUACCUCUUUCAAAAAGAUGCAAUUGUCCAAUUAUUGGUGAAAUUGUCAUUUCAUGCUAUUGGCUAUUUGAAAUUCCUCCUCUAAUUUCAGAAUAAAUCACUGAAAUUGACAUCGGCCAGUCUGAAUUUCAAGAAAUUACCUGCUGAAGACAAGAGGGAUCUCUUCUUCAGAUUUGCAGUCUGGGGAAGACACAGCCUCUACUGUACUUUAGAACCUGAGAUAUGGUGGUGGAGGGAGCCCUGGGUCGAGUGGUAAGAUUCACCCUUAGGUUAGUAUUGACGUAAGGUGACGAGGAGCUGUAGACAAAAGAUUGUAACCAUAAGAACUUCAUAGUUUUUGUAUUUUCACCGAGCUUAUAUUUGGUGUGUUUUUUGUCUUUUCUUUAUGAUUAUCAAUAAAAUGCUUGAAAGGA